rnacentral:tRNA from 1 species
GGGAUAGUAACUCAGUGGUAGAGUGCUUGCCUUGCAUGCAUGAGGCCCUGGGUUCAAUUCCUCAGCACCA